rnacentral:rRNA from 1 species
CCUACGGGGCGCAGCAGUGAGGAAUAUUGGUCAAUGGCCGGGAGGCUGAACCAGCCAAGUCGCGUGAGGGAAGACGGCCCUACGGGUUGUAAACCUCUUUUGUCAGGGAGCAAGGUGCAGGUCGGGACCUGCUGUGAGAGUACCUGAAGAAAAAGCAUCGGCUAACUCCGUGCCAGCAGCCGCGGUAAUACGGAGGAUGCGAGCGUUAUCCGGAUUUAUUGGGUUUAAAGGGUGCGCAGGCGGCACGGCAAGCCGGCGGUCAAAUCGCGGGGCUCAACCCCGCCCAGCCGUCGGAACUGCCGGGC